CUGUCAGGUGGUGGGACCGCUGUAUGUUUACGUGCACAUUCUCUUUCACAGCGCGUCACCAGGGGAGCGCCUAAGCGUCCGGUUACCAUGGUAACGGCGGACGCCCCCCGAUGACGACAGCGGAAGUCGCCGGGCUCCGAGGUCGGACGGCGUCUCACCGAUGAGCACACGUGGGGUCUCUUCUUAUGGUAUAAAGAUAAUAGUGGUAAUAUUUAGACUUACCAAGGCAGACACCAAGAAGCAGGACAGCUAAUGUGAUCUUCAUGACUGAGAUUGUUGGUUACAGGGUUUCUAAGAUGAAUAUCGAACCAAGUAUCUGAAGAUGACCACUUCAUACACCCAUUUUAUACUCUCCCAGUGUUUGCGUAUAGUGAUGGCUCCUCCUGCUUUUAGAGAUUUUCUAUAUGCAAAAAGCAUAUCUGCCAGAAGAGAAUGAACACACAUCCUGGAAGAGAAAGUAUAGAUAGCAGAGCAAACUAUUGCCAUCCUGUUUUAUUUAUUUUAAAAGGUUUGUUUCACUUAUAAUCCAAUGUCUGCUUGUUGCUGAGUGACUGUAAUGGUUUUUUCGUUUGUUUCUAUAAUAUAUUACAUAUAUAAAUGUCACAUGCUCCAUUGACUGUGAAUAACAGAAAAUAAUCCAGUGUAAAAUAAAGUACAAAAUGUUCUGCGAAGAUAGAGAAUUAAACUGUGCAACUCGAGGGAAUAGCCAUUUUUCUAAGAAAUUAUUAGAGGAAUUCAGUUCCUUAGCAUGUACUAGUUUCCUUUUCAUUUUAAAACCCAUAGAUAUUAAUAAAAUAAAGGGUACAAAUGAAUAAUGUUUGGCAACUAGAGUUAAUGUUGAUAAUCGUAUUGCAAGACUAGGAAAAUAGUCUAGGGAAAAAGGUGACCCAACCUUUUUCAACCCUGUUGAAAAAAGGUUAAAAUAACAGUAUGGCCUACAAUAUAAAUUCAUUGAAAUUAAUUGAAUGCAUUACUAUAUAAAUCCAAAUAUUUAACACACUCAACAAAAUGCAUUUGUGGUUAGGUUUAUGUGGGUGAAACCUCAAAAGAACAUUAUCCAAAAACAUUGGAUGGUGUCUAUAUAAAAGGGAUAGAACAUGCACCUUAAGUUAAACACUUUGAGGCCAGGCUAAUGAAAGUCACAUAAAGUAUAUUUUCAGGCAGCUAUUUCAAUGUGGACUGAGAUUAGAUACUCACUCCAAGGAGUACUGUAGUGUAUCUACAAAGAGAAAACCAGGAAUGCUGCAUAUUAUUAUUUACAUUCAGAGAUACCCAGAAAUCUAGCAGUGUACUGUAUAUUGGAGUAUUUUAGAGUAUAUAAAUAUGAUGACACACUGCCCUUUACUUUGGGGCUGCUCCCCUUCUUUAACUUUCAUGUAAAUCUUGGAUUUAUACAGAUGUA